GCAUUUUUCCCAAGUACUUUAUUUGUGUGUUAAUAAAUAGAUAACUUCCAGAGCUAUAACUUUUCAUCAGACAAUGAUAAUGGAGCACACUUGAGCUGAAUGGACUUGAAGAGAUUGUCCUAUUCCUUUUUGGCCCAAAUACUCAAGACUCCAGGAAGAAGUAGAAGAUAGCCCUCUUGUGGUAGUUAUUUAAACCAUCCAGUUUGUGGGGAACAUGGAUUGAGGAAACAACCUGGGGGACAAAGCUAUACUCUUCCUUCCAGAGUAUAGGGGCAGUGGGAUUGGGGAUGUAACUCAGUUGUAGUGUGCUUGCCAAGCAUAUGUGAGGCACUGGGCUCAAUCCCCAGCACUGCAAGAAACAAAACAGUAUGAGGUACAACAAGGUCUGAAGGCUCUGGGGAUUCAUUGCACUCAGCAUUGCCAAUUCAAAUUUCUGGAUUGGUUAGAAGAGAAAGCUGACAAGUUUUAUAUAUUUUUUGUUAUCCCCACAUAUCCCAGGACUGGAGAUUGAAUCCAGGAGUACUCCACCACUGAAUUACACUCUCAGCCCUUUUUAUUUUUAAUUUUGAGACAGGGUUGUGCUAAGUUGCCAAGGCUGCCCUUGAACUUGUGAUCCUCCUGCCUCAGCCUUCUGAGUUGCUGGGAUUGUAGGCAUGUGCCACUGUGCCUGAUGGCAAGUACUUUCAUGUUUUCAGGUCUGUGUUAAAAAUGGGUCAGAGGGGCUGGGGAUGUGGCUCAAGCGGUAACGCACUUGCUUGGCAUGCGUGAGGCACUGGGUUCAAUCCUCAGCACCACAUAAAAAUAAAAUAAAGAUGUUGUGUCCACCGAAAACUGAAAAAUAAAUAUUAAAAAAAUUAAAAAAAAUGGGUCAGACUGCUGGCAGCUGGAAGUUUGCUGCCAGCAUCAGACCUCUAUACUCAUGGAGGGACUUGGGGAUCCAUUUUUGGGAUGCUCUGGAAUCCUUUGGGAUAUAUAUAUAAUGUACCAUUUGGAGAAUAACUGUGUAGCGGAUACCCUGUCUUUUGCUGCUGCACAGAGUUGGGAGUAGUGUACUUGGUCAGGCUGUAAUAAUGCUAAGCAGCUUCUUUCCAGUUCUCUCACUUUCUAACUCAGUAAUUGAAGAGGUGGAGUAUCAUGGUGGUCCCUGGGGAGUGAUAGGAUCCAGAUGCCUUCAUUCUUUAAUUAGAAAGGUUUUUUAUAAUUGGGUUUCCUGACCCUGGUUAUCGGUAUGGGUAAGAAUAACCCUGAAUUCCUGAGAAAGGUGAAGCAGGUUAGGACAGAGGAAAUGGAAGCUUUGAGUAUGGUAAAGGAAGCAAAACCACUGAAGGCACUGGAAGUGAGGAAAUUGGGUCAGGUGUGAAAGUGUCUGCUCAUCUGUGUCACUUUGGCCAUGAGCCGCAGGAGAGUAUCUGGGCCCUACUUGUGGAUCCAAUAUGGCUUCUGAGCUAGACAUAGCAGGGUAGAGACACUCAAGGCAGAACUGGCUUUCCAUGCACAGAGCUGACCAGUUCUACCUAUGUGCAAACCAUUGAGAGUUUUCUGGCACCUCUGAAGGUGGGGGCUUUUCUAGGAGUGAUUCUCUGAUUUAUGUAAUACUUCUAGUCAGGGUUGAGGGAGCUCCCCUCCCUUUUCCAGAACCCCAUCUCAUCUUUCAGGUUCUUCUAACUUAACCCAGGGAAAAAGCUCCUUCCUUGGUCCCUCCUGGGUUGAGGUGGGCUUGUGCUACCUUCUGUAGGUGGAUAUUGUUGUCUGUUUUUGUUUUGUUCUUUUCUUUUUCACUGUUACCCUCUUUUUCUUGUAUCCACUCUCCCUUCACAUUCAGGUUCUCAAACAGAGCCUGAACAAGACAAUAGCCUCCCACUUUCCUGACACCAUUCUAGGAAUGUAGCAGGAACUUUCAAAGUGUUUCCACUGCCUUAAACUGGCAUUCAGGGUUCUUCACAACCAGCCCUUAAUUCCCUCUCCACCUACCUCUCUCUGCUUCUCUGGCAAGUCUCUUAUUUUCGGCAAGUUGAUUGAUUAAUUUCACCCCAAAAUCUUGUCUUCUCUGCCUUUACCUUCUUUAUUGUUUGAUUAAAAACAUCCCAUGUCAAGAUCUAGCUUGUUUCACCUCCUCCACAAAGCUACCCAUGGCCUCUCUAAACACAGGCCUUUUUUCCUUUUUUCUUCCACCCCGAUUCCUUUAGCUCUAUUAGCAUAGUUCAGUCAACACCUUCCACACUUCCCUUG
rnacentral:lncRNA from 1 species